CUGAAUCACCUGGAGCUGCCAACAGCAAUGAAAAGAAUUUCACAAGUAUUAUUACAGUCACUGUGAUGUUGGUUUGCAUAUUCAUCAUUACGAUGCUUCUGUCUCAUGCAGGUAAUCAGAGAUAUUCCAGGGAAUUAAGAGCAGCUAAAACCACUAAAAAACUAAACCCUGCCUUUAAUGAUGAUAUUGGUGUUACGCAUCCCCAAAAUACUUAUAUUAAACUACAGAACCGUAACAAAUUUGAUGAU